UUACAGGAAUUUCCAACCAAGUUUGAUUAUGUACAUACAUGUUAUAAACCACUGUACGUAUGGUUACUGUAUGUAACUUACUAAACAUACAUAACAUGACUUAACUUUGAUACUUUUUUGGUACAUUCCAGAAAACCAGGACCCCCUCCAUGAUGCAGGCUAUGGGGCCACAUAAAACUUUGUCCAGGGUUACUACAUAACAUAAAGAACCCCCUGAAUGAUGUAGGCUAUGGGGCCACAUAAGACUUUGUGCAUCCAGGGUUACAUUGAACGACAACUUUAAACUAAAGAACCCCCUGAAUGAUGUAGGCUAUGGGGCCACAUAAGACUUUGUGCAUCCAGGGUUACAAAGCAGGACAACUUUAAACUAAAAAGCUACCAGACUGGGAUUUUAGUGUACUCCAGGAUCUACCAAAUACUACUACGAAGUGUACAGUGCAUAAUAUAGUGUUUAGUGUAUAAUCUAACCUAAGGAUUAAGUGUAGUACAUUGUGCUUUAUAGUGUCACAAGAGUUUAAUAAAGAAUUAUACCUUCAAGAACCAUCCUUUGCCAUUGAAAUAACCACACUACACAUCAUGCAAUAUACUUGCAUGUCACACAGGUAAGGUCUCUAACUUUUUCUUAGUUUAAGGCAUAUUUCCAAGUGUCGUUCCGGCUUACGACGAUUUUCGGCUUACGA